rnacentral:sRNA from 1 species
GGAAGUGAGGGCAAUCUGGCUACCAUUUCCAGAGUUGAUUUGGCUGAGCCAGCUGGCUAGGCAGGUGACCCCUUCCUCCCUCACUACUUCAUCCCUCCUGAAGCUGCACGUUUGAUCAAAGAGAAUGACCUUUCCCAAAUAGAAAUCUGGAUUUUCUGUAUUGCCAAUCAGGUCUCAGAGUCAAGAUACUUCUGAAAAUUAUCUCUGGUUUC